AGAGUUUGAUCCUGGCUCAGGACGAACGCUGGCGGCGUGCCUAAUACAUGCAAGUCGAACGCUUUUUCUUUCACCGGAGCUUGCUCCACCGAAAGAAAAAGAGUGGCGAACGGGUGAGUAACACGUGGGUAACCUGCCCAUCAGAAGGGGAUAACACUUGGAAACAGGUGCUAAUACCGUAUAACACUAUCUUCCGCAUGGAAGAAAGUUGAAAGGCGCUUUUGCGUCACUGAUGGAUGGACCCGCGGUGCAUUAGCUAGUUGGUGAGGUAACGGCUCACCAAGGCAACGAUGCAUAGCCGACCUGAGAGGGUGAUCGGCCACACUGGGACUGAGACACGGCCCAGACUCCUACGGGAGGCAGCAGUAGGGAAUCUUCGGCAAUGGACGAAAGUCUGACCGAGCAACGCCGCGUGAGUGAAGAAGGUUUUCGGAUCGUAAAACUCUGUUGUUAGAGAAGAACAAGGAUGAGAGUAAAAUGUUCAUCCCUUGACGGUAUCUAACCAGAAAGCCACGGCUAACUACGUGCCAGCAGCCGCGGUAAUACGUAGGUGGCAAGCGUUGUCCGGAUUUAUUGGGCGUAAAGCGAGCGCAGGCGGUUUCUUAAGUCUGAUGUGAAAGCCCCCGGCUCAACCGGGGAGGGUCAUUGGAAACUGGGAGACUUGAGUGCAGAAGAGGAGAGUGGAAUUCCAUGUGUAGCGGUGAAAUGCGUAGAUAUAUGGAGGAACACCAGUGGCGAAGGCGGCUCUCUGGUCUGUAACUGACGCUGAGGCUCGAAAGCGUGGGGAGCGAACAGGAUUAGAUACCCUGGUAGUCCACGCCGUAAACGAUGAGUGCUAAGUGUUGGAGGGUUUCCGCCCUUCAGUGCUGCAGCAAACGCAUUAAGCACUCCGCCUGGGGAGUACGACCGCAAGGUUGAAACUCAAAGGAAUUGACGGGGGCCCGCACAAGCGGUGGAGCAUGUGGUUUAAUUCGAAGCAACGCGAAGAACCUUACCAGGUCUUGACAUCCUUUGACCACUCUAGAGAUAGAGCUUCCCCUUCGGGGGCAAAGUGACAGGUGGUGCAUGGUUGUCGUCAGCUCGUGUCGUGAGAUGUUGGGUUAAGUCCCGCAACGAGCGCAACCCUUAUUGUUAGUUGCCAUCAUUUAGU
rnacentral:rRNA from 1 species